GGCGAACGCUGGCGGCGUGCUUAACACAUGCAAGUCGAACGAAGAGCGAUGGAAGCUUGCUUCUAUCAAUCUUAGUGGCGAACGGGUGAGUAACGCGUAAUCAACCUGCCCUUCAGAGGGGGACAACAGUUGGAAACGACUGCUAAUACCGCAUACGAUCUAAUCUCGGCAUCGAGGAUAGAUGAAAGGUGGCCUCUACAUGUAAGCUAUCACUGAAGGAGGGGAUUGCGUCUGAUUAGCUAGUUGGAGGGGUAACGGCCCACCAAGGCGAUGAUCAGUAGCCGGUCUGGGAGGAUGAACGGCCACAUUGGGACUGAGACACGGCCCAGACUCCUACGGGAGGCAGCAGUGGGGAAUCUUCCGCAAUGGACGAAAGUCUGACGGAGCAACGCCGCGGGAGUGAUGACGGCCUUCGGGUUGUAAAGCUCUGUUAAUCGGGACGAAAGGCCUUCUUGCGAAUAGUGAGAAGGAUUGACGGUACCGGAAGAGAAAGCCACGGCUAACUACGUG
rnacentral:rRNA from 1 species